GACGAACGCGGCGGCGUGCCUAAUACAUGCAAGUAGAAACGCUGAAGAGAGGAGCUUGCUCUUCUGGAUGAGUUGCGAACGGGUGAGUAACGCGUAGGUAACCUGCCUUGUAGCGGGGGAUAACUAUGGAAACGAUAGCUAAUACCGCAUAACAAUGAGUGACACAUGUCAUUUAUUUGAAAGGGGCAAUUGCUCCACUACAAGAUGGACCUGCGUUGUAUUAGCUAGUAGGUGAGGUAACGGCUCACCUAGGCGACGAUACAUAGCCGACCUGAGAGGGUGAUCGGCCACACUGGGACUGAGACACGGCCCAGACUCCUACGGGAGGCAGCAGUAGGGAAUCUUCGGCAAUGGGGGCAACCCUGACCGAGCAACGCCGCGUGAGUGAAGAAGGUUUUCGGAUCGUAAAGCUCUGUUGUAAGUCAAGAACGAGUGUGAGAGUGGAAAGUUCACACUGUGACGGUAGCUUACCAGAAAGGGACGGCUAACUACGUGCCAGCAGCCGCGGUAAUACGUAGGUCCCGAGCGUUGUCCGGAUUUAUUGGGCGUAAAGCGAGCGCAGGCGGUUUGAUAAGUCUGAAGUUAAAGGCUGUGGCUCAACCAUAGUUCGCUUUGGAAACUGUCAAACUUGAGUGCAGAAGGGGAGAGUGGAAUUCCAUGUGUAGCGGUGAAAUGCGUAGAUAUAUGGAGGAACACCGGUGGCGAAAGCGGCUCUCUGGUCUGUAACUGACGCUGAGGCUCGAAAGCGUGGGGAGCGAACAGG
rnacentral:rRNA from 1 species